CAUAAGACUCCUUUCAGCACAAGCCUACUAGACAGAUGAACAGAGCCAAAGUGUGUGAUUGCAGCCUUAUUUCCAUUUGGAACAAAAUUUGCUGCUAUAAUGUUGGCCUGAGGGGUUGUUCCAUUGCAUCCAAUGUCCAGAGGAGUACUUCUUUCCCUUUUCAUGUAUUCAAGAAAUUCAAGGGUUGUUGAACCCAAUUGAGAACUGUCUUUCCUGUUGAGAGAUCAUGGAGAAAGCUUCACCUGCAUCUGGCAAGGGUCUCAUCAACAUAAUCUGAUUCCUUGCUCCAGUAUACUUCUCAUCCAAUCCAAUGAGGAAGGCACAUAACAUGUCAUUAUCAA